rnacentral:rRNA from 1 species
UAGUUAGUAGGGGUAGACGCGAAACUUUGUGAUCUAUCCUUGGUCAGGCUGAAGUUCCGGUAAAACGGGAUGGAGGGCCGAACCAGUAAACGUUGAAAAGUUUUUGGAUGAACUGAGGAUAGGGGUGAAAGGCCAAUCAAACUGAGAAAUAGCUCGUACUCCCCGAAAUGCAUUUAGGUGCAGCCUUGAGUCGAGUUUUGCAGAGGUAGAGCUACUGAUAAGGCUAGAGGGCUUCAUCGCCUAUCAAACCUUGAUAAACUCCGAAUGCUGCAAAAUAAUGACCAGGAGUGAGGCUAUGGGUGCUAAGAUCCAUGGCCAAAAGGGAAAUAGCCCAGACCAUCAGCUAAGGUCCCCAAGUAUAUGUUAAGUUGGAAAAACGAAGUGCGACUGCCCAGACAGCUAGGAUGUUGGCUUGGAAGCAGCCAUUCAUUUAAAGAGUGCGUAACAGCUCACUAGUCGAGCGGUUGUGCGUGGAUAAUAAACGGGCAUAAGCAUAUUACCGAAGCUAUGGACUCAUCCCGAGAAAUCGGGAUGAUUGGUAGGGGAGCAUUCCAGUCGGCGUGGAAGAAGUGUCGCGAGGCAUUUUGGAGCGUCUGGAAAAGAAGAUGUAGGCAUAAGUAACGAUAAGGCAGGCGAGAAACCUGCCCACCGAAAGACUAAGGUUUCCUGAUCAACGCUAAUCGGAUCAGGGUUAGUCGGGUCCUAAGGGUAAGCCGCGUGGCGAUCCUAAUGGACAACUGGUUAAUAUUCCAGUACCACCGUUUACCGCGACGGGGCGACGGAGGAGUGAAAGAUCCGCGUACUGACGGAAUAGUACGUUAAAGGGUGUAGUUAUACCUUUUGGUUAACAGCUAAUAGGUGAUGAACCUGAUAGUACCAUGAGCCUUCGGGCGAGUGGAUAGUGAUCCUAAUCAUACUUCCAAGAAAACCCUCUAAGCAUCAAGUAAAUGGUGCCCGUACCACAAACCGACACAGGUAGUCGAGGAGAGAAUCCUAAGGUGCUCGAGUGAUCCGUGGCUAAGGAACUAGGCAAAUUAGACCUGUAACUUUGGAAUAAAGGUCUCCCUGAGAGAUCAGGGACGCAGAUAAACGGCCCAGGCGACUGUUUAGCAAAAACACAUGGCUUUGCGAAAUCGAAAGAUGAAGUAUAAGGCCUGACACCUGCCCGGUGCCGGAAGGUUAAGAGGGGAUGUUAUCGCAAGAGAAGCAUUGAAUUGAAGCCCCGGUAAACGGCGGCCGUAACUAUAACGGUCCUAAGGUAGCGAAAUUCCUUGUCGGGUAAGUUCCGACCUGCACGAA